GAACGCUGGCGGCAGGCCUAACACAUGCAAGUCGAGCGGUAGAGAGGUGCUUGCACCUCUUGAGAGCGGCGGACGGGUGAGUAAUGCCUAGGAAUCUGCCUGGUAGUGGGGGAUAACGCUCGGAAACGGACGCUAAUACCGCAUACGUCCUACGGGAGAAAGCAGGGGACCUUCGGGCCUUGCGCUAUCAGAUGAGCCUAGGUCGGAUUAGCUAGUUGGUGAGGUAAUGGCUCACCAAGGCGACGAUCCGUAACUGGUCUGAGAGGAUGAUCAGUCACACUGGAACUGAGACACGGUCCAGACUCCUACGGGAGGCAGCAGUGGGGAAUAUUGGACAAUGGGCGAAAGCCUGAUCCAGCCAUGCCGCGUGUGUGAAGAAGGUCUUCGGAUUGUAAAGCACUUUAAGUUGGGAGGAAGGGCAUUAACCUAAUACGUUAGUGUUUUGACGUUACCGACAGAAUAAGCACCGGCUAACUCUGUGCCAGCAGCCGCGGUAAUACAGAGGGUGCAAGCGUUAAUCGGAAUUACUGGGCGUAAAGCGCGCGUAGGUGGUU
rnacentral:rRNA from 1 species